AAUCAACGCUGGCGGCGUGCCUCAGACAUGCAAGUCGAACGCGAAAGUCCCCUUCGGGGGACAAGUAGAGUGGCGCACGGGCGAGUAACACGUAGGUAAUCUACCUUCGGAUGGGGAAUAACAACCGGAAACGGUUGCUAAUACCGCAUAAUGCAGCGGCACCUAAUGGUGACAGUUGUUAAAGCGGGGGAUCGAAAGACCUCGCGUCUGAAGAGGAGCCUGCGGCGAAUUAGCUAGNGGUAAGGUAAUGGCUUACCAAGGCGACGAUCCGUAGCCGGCCUGAGAGGACGACCAGCCACACUGGGACUGAGACACGGCCCAGACUCCUACGGGAGGCAGCAGUGGGGAAUAUUGGACAAUGGGCGCAAGCCUGAUCCAGCGAUGCCGCGUGUGUGAAGAAGGCCUGCGGGUUGUAAAGCACUUUCAGUAGGGAAGAAACCCGAAGUGCUAAUAUCACUCGGUCUUCUACGUUACUU
rnacentral:rRNA from 1 species